rnacentral:rRNA from 1 species
GACGAACGCUGGCGGCGUGCUUAACACAUGCAAGUCGAACGGUAAGGCCCUUCGGGGUACACAAGUGGCGAACGGGUGAGUAACACGUGGGUGAUCUGCCCUGCACUUCGGGAUAAGCCUGGGAAACUGGGUCUAAUACCGGAUAGGACCACUGCCUGCAUGGGUGGUGGUGGAAAGCUUUUGCGGUGUGGGAUGGGCCCGCGGCCUAUCAGCUUGUUGGUGGGGUGAUGGCCUACCAAGGCGACGACGGGUAGCCGGCCUGAGAGGGUGACCGGCCACACUGGGGCUGGGGUACGGCCCAGACUCCUACGGGAGGAAGCAGUGGGGAAUAUUGCGCAAUGGGCGCAAGCCUGAUGCAGCGACGCCGCGUGAGGGAUGACGGCCUUCGGGUAGUAAACCUCUUUCAGCACCGACGAAGCGCAAGUGACGGUAGGUGCAGAAGAAGGACCGGCCAACUACGUGCCAGCAGCCGCCGUAA